GUUAUACUGAAUUGUUUUUUCCUUCUGGAAAGAUUUUCCUUUUUUUUUAUCUCUUCGUCCUGACAAGAGUAUGCGCCGAGCGAAUUCGAGUCGUUGAACCAAGGUAACGAGCAGAAGAAAUCCAAAGAAAAAUCUGGAGGAUUUCGACGUUGAAGAAGAAGAAAAUCUCUUGGCCACGCGCCAUUUUCUUAAGUAUUUCGAUAUAGAAUGGAGUUAAAACAGGCCUCCUGGCCCGUACACGUGUGCAUAUGUACGAGAGGCCCAGCUGAGAUCGUGUGUACGAAUACGCAGUGCUCUUUCUCAUCGCACGGUAGAGUGAGGAGACAGUGCCCGUCCCAUCCGAAAGUGACAUUUCUCUUGGACCUCGUGCAUUGCCCGUGGUGUGGGACAGACUGUGUCGAGCAACAGCCGGAUGUACAGUUGUCACCUGCUCCCCCUGUUUGCGAGCCGGUGGCAAAGAGUGCCGAAGACAGAGGAAGGUUCAGGCCACAGCUCACAAGAAACACAAAGCCGGCUACGCGCGAAUUCAGAAAUGCGUACAAACGCGUCAGACACUAGAAGUUGCGAAAGAGGAAAAUAAAACCACGCACCGCAACCUGCCUAUAUAUGCCUCCCUAUAUAAGGAUGUUCGCCCUGGAAGGAAUAAAAUGGGCUAUUAAUCUUUCUUUUUUUUUAAAUUUUUAUACAGUAUACAUUUAUAUAUGUUUAUAUACUCUUUAAAAAUUAUUAUUUUGUUUGAGAACUUAAGUACUGAUUGUAGUGCGUGUUGAGUUUGAAUUUGGCAAUAAAUUCUUGUUAUGUA
rnacentral:misc_RNA from 1 species